AUUUGUCAUCAUACUUGCAUUUGCAAGCAAGUAAACCUUAAACAGCUGAAGAUCUAUCUAUCUAUGCCUUCCAAAGGCACCUCAAUUGAGAACAUGCAGUUUUCUUUCUAUUUUGAGGUGGAAAUAGCAGGUCCUACAUUUUGUGUCUACAUAUAUAGUGUGUUACUUGGUGGUGGUGGUGGUUUUUAUUUUCUUUUUCUUUUUAUGAUCUUUCCAUUACUGUAGACUAUUAGUGUGAUUGAGGCAAAGAUGAUA